UACGUAGGGUGCAAGCGUUAAUCGGAAUUACUGGGCGUAAAGCGUGCGCAGGCGGUUCUAUAAGACAGAUGUGAAAUCCCCGGGCUCAACCUGGGAACUGCAUUUGUGACUGUAGAGCUGGAGUACGGUAGAGGGGGGUAGAAUUCCACGUGUAGCAGUGAAAUGCGUAGAGAUGUGGAGGAAUACCGAUGGCGAAGGCAGCCCCCUGGGCCAAUACUGACGCUCAUGCACGAAAGCGUGGGGAGCAAACAGG
rnacentral:rRNA from 1 species